CUCCGAUGAUGAUCCAGCCAUGCUAAUACUGAUGCACCAGGCUGGGUGUAAGUGAGUUCAGCUUACCUUCUCACACUGACAGUGUGCGCUGAGGAGA